rnacentral:rRNA from 1 species
UGGGGAAUUUUGGACAAUGGGCGAAAGCCUGAUCCAGCAAUGCCGCGUGUGUGAAGAAGGCCUUCGGGUUGUAAAGCACUUUUGUCCGGAAAGAAAUCCUUGGCUCUAAUACAGUCGGGGGAUGACGGUACCGGAAGAAUAAGCACCGGCUAACUACGUGCCAGCAGCCGCGGUAAUACGUAGGGUGCAAGCGUUAAUCGGAAUUACUGGGCGUAAAGCGUGCGCAGGCGGUUUGCUAAGACCGAUGUGAAAUCCCCGGGCUCAACCUGGGAACUGCAUUGGUGACUGGCAGGCUAGAGUAUGGCAGAGGGGGGUAGAAUUCCACGUGUAGCAGUGAAAUGCGUAGAGAUGUGGAGGAAUACCGAUGGCGAAGGCAGCCCCCUGGGCCAAUACUGACGCUCAUGCACGAAAGCGUGGGGAGCAAACAGGAUUAGAUACCCUGGUAGUCCACGCCCUAAACGAUGUCAACUAGUUGUUGGGGAUUCAUUUCCUUAGUAACGUAGCUAACGCGUGAAGUUGACCGCCUGGGGAGUACGGUCGCAAGAUUAAAACUCAAAGGAAUUGACCGGGGUCAUAGCUGUUUCCU